CGGACUUUCUGCCUCACCAGUGGGACGAUGCUGGAUGUUGGUUCUACAAAUACGACAUGAUUUUUAACUUUUUGCGAACUUCAUCAAGCAGCUUCUCACGCAAACAAUGGCGCGUGCAUUUGGCAUCUACUGGCGUGACGCACAAUCACCAAGCAAACUUUCUCAGACAACACGAGAUGCGGCAGUUUGUCAAAAUAACUUCUACUUACGUCUCAUUGAGGUGGGCCGAUGUCGCAGUUUGCAGGAGCGCUGAUGCGAUGAUGACAGCAAACAUUUGGAGGACAGGUGCCAUGUCUGCGCAGCAGAGUCGGCGCUUUGCAGGCAGCGGGACAACUUGAGCGGACCGGACUGCACCGGAGGAGGACGCGUUCCAGCCUGAAACCCCCACUGCGGGCCGGACUCAGGGAGUGGGAGAGAGACUGAGACGGAUGCGCAGGGCACAAAGUUGCUGAAACGGAGGGGGCUGUGGCGCUGGUUUGCUGUUUAUACCCCCAAACCACCGCCACCCCCUCCCUGUUUGAGUCACUCCCCCCAAAGUUCGUUGGACCUUUGCAGCCUCCUCCCUAUUCCCAAAGGAGUUUCACUUCCCAAAAGUUGAAUCACACAGCCCUGUCUGCCGCCAGUCCACUCCUCCAGUUUCUAAAGAACAUGAGUGAGGGGUAAAGAAAGAGCAGGUCAAGGGAAGGUGAGAAUACAAUCACUGUCUGAUGCAGGCAUGUAGACCAUGCAAUUUUUAGCACUGUUGCAUUGAGCAACAGGCCUACGAGAGGCUGUUUGAGUAUUGAAGACAGCAGAGAUAACACAAAACCUAGAUAAAAGAUAUCACUCUCUGUGGCCCUGAGUGGCUUCAUGGAGGCCUCCUGCAAUCAAUUCUGCCACAAAGAGAACAGACGAUAAUGACUUGAAUAAAUAUUAAAUUAAAAUUCACAUUCAAGAUUCAUUUCUCCAUGCACAGCGCAGACAGCUCUACAUUCCGGUGCUAAAUCAACUAAAGAUUUCUGGUGUGGUCUGCUAUGGGAUUUCCCAGGUUGUGCCGGUUGAUUGAUCCAUAUGUAGGCCUAUGUUUUUGACGACCCAUAACGGCUGAUUAAAAGGAAACAUACAAGAUUAAUGAAAUUGUGCAGUGUCUGUUUAGCUUAAAGGUACCCUAUGGAGUUUUUGAUAUGAGCACAAGGUUUUUACAAGUAGGUCCCUGUAAACAAUGCAAGCUUUGACGUAAACCAGGCAGGAUUUCAAUUAUGAACAUCAGCUUACAAUGAGAAAUGAGAAUGGAAACGCACUCGACAUUUUUGGUAGAGCUCAAUGAUACACAGUGGGUUUUGGUGAGUAACACUGAUUUGAUUUGUUUACAAGAAAACUCCACAGGCUACCUUUAAUGUGUGUCAAGCUUCAAAAUCAAAUUCCUGCUGUUGGAAUGCUCAUUUAAUGGGGUUCGCUUUGAUUUGAAAACACUUUAAAUAGCUUCCUCUGGUUUAACAACAUCAUCAUCAUCACCACCAACCUCCUCAUCACUCUACUAACAUUAGGAUCCUGCAGAUGGGGUGAGGUAGCUCUACCACCUUUUUUUGUUGGCAACAACAUGUCUCAACCAAUAACCAGAGGGAAUUGAGUCAUUUAAACACACAGUUGAAAGAAUCCGGCACAAGGCAUCGUGUGUCAAGGACAUCUCAGAUGAGGCCCGUCGUCCUGUGAGACGCAGGAGUGGCUAAACAUGAGGAGAAUUUCUGGCAGGAUAUUAAAAAUAUCCUGUCUGAAACGCCACACUCCCCCUGUUGAUUCUUCACUGUGGACAUUCAUUUCCAUGCAGACGUGGUGUCGUCUGACUUUUCCAGUUUGUAAAUACCUGAAUGUCUGUACAACAAGACACAGGGCAUGUGCUGAAAGUGUACUGUGUUGAGUUUUAUCAUUCAUUUCAGUUAUUUGGAGAGCCAGUGUCACUCUUUAUUCUGGAGCUGGUAUAAAAAUCAACAGUCUUCAUCAACACAGAGUGUUACGCAACUGCAAACAUUCCUCCAGCUUAGGAAUAUUUUCCUUUUUUUUACCUUACAUAUACAAAUUGUAUUUUCUCACAUUGCGCUAUUAUAGUCUUUUUCUACACAUUCAAGUUUAAACCAAACAUUUGAUCCUAUGCUGCUAAUAUAAUGUAUCAUUUUCUACAGAGAAAUAAGAGAUAUUUUCUUUUACAUUCACAAGUGUGCACCAUGUUAUUGCUGUUAAACAAAACCUUGUAUCAACCUUUUAGCAAUACGUUUGGCAAUGUACUUCUCAAAUUCUGCAAUGGGCUACAUGUUGUAUAUGACACACUAUUAACCCAGGAAAAGCCUUCACUUCACACAAAACAUGAUAAAUCAUGAAGCUGGAAUUCGAGGUUUUCAUGCAAAGACAAUAUAUGAAACCCAACAACAAAGCCCACCGAGUAUAAAAAUCAACAGCACGCAGUUUUCAUCAACACAGUAUGUUAUGCAUGCAUUCAGAGCUGAAAAAAUUACUAGAAACAUUACAGCCGAGCGCAAACUAGCAAGUUGUUGGCUAGCUAACCAGCAUUAGCUCAACAUGCAACCAGAAGUCUUACUUGUGAAUACAUUAACUGUUUCUGCAAGUGUCUGUAACUUUCAGAUCACAUGCUGGUAGAGCUUACAGUCAAAAUGCAUGUAGCUGAUUCUUUGCUGAGGCGCCUAUGGUUUGCAGGAGGAACCCUAUCUGUGCACUAUUAACCCAUCAGGUGGCUCUAAAACUGUAUGUAAGCCAAGCAUAUCAAUUUUGUAGAAAUUCAUAUUAAAGGGUUAUUUCUAACUCUGUUACACCUGUUUGCUUCUCUACAGGAAGCGACGUGGGGAGGUGACAGGCUGUCUUUCCUCCAGCUCUUCUUUUAUCUUCUUUUAUCUUUUGUCUCCUCCUGCCUUUGAUCUCUACAAAAGUCAAUCAAAGACAGGCCUGAAUGGAACGGUAACACUGUACAAUAUUUCAGUAUUUGGUUACACUGACUGUGUGCAGCACUGUGCUUAUAUCUGUGUCUCCACCGUGCUGCACUUGUAUGAGAGGUUUUGUUUUAGGUAACUGCAGACUGAGGUCAGGAACAUUCCUGAGGACAAUUAACGUGUGUGAAAUCUGGGGUCUGGGAGCAAGGUAGCACUUGCGGUUGAAGAUUCACACUUUACAUGUCCACUAGGUAGAUUAUUUUAGGACGUAAUGGAGCAGAGAAAAUAGGAAGGGUGUUUAGGCCUCUGUAGCAGCAAUUUAAAGUGAUCAAGCUGGCCAUUAACAGCAGUUUAACAGCUAAUCGUAUGGCUUCCAUAGUGGCUUUAAUGCAGUCCAAGUAUCACUGGCAAUUGCUUUUAUACUUUCAUGGAUCAUUGUUCAAAUGAAACAGUUGUAAUUUCUUUCUUUCUUUCUUUCUUUCUUACCUAUCUUCUCCCCUUCCGUUCCUCUUCAGGUGAUUUGAAAGCUUGAAAAUCUCCCAGACUGGAGCUUCAAGGUCUCUUUACACAGUGGGACUAAAGUCUAUUCUUUUUCACUGUUUAUUUUGUACACAUGAGUACAUUUUCCUCCUAAAAAUGGAAUGCUGUAUUUUUCUUGUAACUGAGCAUUUUUCCACUUCAGUUUUCAGUUCUUUCACCACUGAUCCCACAGAGUUGCUUAUUUCUGACCAAAGAAAUGAUCAAGCACCACUUGUCUCAAGACCUCCAGAGACAGGACACUGCCUUCUACCUUUGGCGUGCUGCAUGUGACUAAAGAUUUAGACAAAAUCUCCCCUUAAGCAGCAGGCAGGAGAGGGCAGCAGACAUUCGGGCUGAGACCAGACUGUUUGUUUCAUGUCUCUCAUCUCCAAUCCAGGGAGGGGCUCAUUAAAUCUGGCUCCCCAUCUCUGGCUGAUGAAUUCUUUAUUAAAACAAUAUGUUCACCCUGUGCUCCUACAGAGAUAUCAUAUAAAAGUUCAAUUAAGUGGGGCUUGAUGAUCUCAAUCAGAUGAUCUUUUACAGCUAAAAGCUCCCUCUACACGGUCCACUGGAGCCUUUCCAGAGCGAUUGUACACACGGAAAAACAGUGAAGGAACAUCCACCAGCGAAUAACAAAGGGAAGUCAGGCGCUGCAUGGGGAUUUAGAUGUUCAAAGGAGCAGCUUACGCCUCUGGGCCAUGCAGGGCCCUCUUGAGUCGGAGAAUGAAAUCUGUUGUUUAACAAGCCUUUAUUGGAAUCCACACUUCUACCAAAAUGUUGAAGAUCAGGGACAAACAGAAACCCGCAGCGGCAGUACAUGAGCCAGCGAUGAGCACAAUCCCUGAGAAUAGCUGUCAGUGAGGCCAUAUCAGACUGUAUGAUUCCCAUAUUGGUAUAACAAAAUCCACGGGUUGUGUGUGUUUGUCUCAGUGUGUGCAGAGCUCUAGCAGGGAUAUGUUGAGCUUCAGGUGGUGGAUAUAGCAGAGAGCUGGCUGCCAUUGGUUUCCUCAGUUCUUUUGGCGCUGUAGUUUCUAGAGGUUUAUUAAGCACCGCCUUGGUUUGUUUGAGUCCCAUGGGAGCUCCAAGGACCUGGACACUGCCUUUUAGCUUUAGUAUGCUUUGUUUGAUUUAAAAGAAAACUCCCCCUCAGACACUCUUACGUUGUUAGAUCUCCAUUUUGUGACAUGCAAAACAUUGUGGAGACCAACACAUGGUCAGUUUUUGAUGGGGAAUUUGUUUUCAUUUUAAAUUUUACCUUCUUUUCUGAAACCUGAAUUGCCUACAACCACUCUACUCACUGCAGAAUCACUUACUCUUAGUGAGUCAAGUAAGAUUUUUUUAAACUAAGUACUGUGUGAUUUCUUUCCAAAAUGUUGUCCCAAGUCUAAUAGUCCACAGCCAUUCUAGUGGCUCUGUGAAGCUGUAGCCUACUUUGGCACAGUGGCGCUCAAAAUGACCAGAAAUUCUUGAAACAAGUUAAUUUACAUAAGAAACAAGUUGAAGUUUUCUUACAAGGCCAGCUAAUUUUGUGUUUUAAGAAAAGAAUGCUUAUACAGUACAUUUCCCAGAAUGCCUUUUGACAGCUUGCGAGAAAGGUGUGUAAACCAUAGACUGUAUAAAACAAGGUGUAAACUGGCUGUGAGGCAGAGGUUGAUGCGUCACCCGAGCUGAGAAAUAUUACAGUGUUUUUCAACAAGAAAAAAACUGAUGGCAGCUGUUUUGAUACCAUCCCACAGUUCCUUGGUUUACAUCCAUUACUGUAAGCUGGUAAGUCAGUGCUAUUAAUCCUAGCACUGAAUUAGAUUCUAUAGAAGUCCUUUAAAAAAAAAGCUUAACAUGUAGGCCACACAAUGAGUCAUUUAUAUUAAAGUACUGUAUUUUUGAAGUUACACUAUAUAAAUCAAAUACAGGAAGGUUUAAAGUGAUAAAUCCACUUUUUGUGAACAGAGCUUUGUAUGAUGAUGAGGCUGUUGUAUUUGUGGGUUUCUGUGUAUGAAUAAUAACAAUAACUUUAGGUACAUGGCACCUUUGAGAAGAGAGUUUACAAAGUGCAUUGACAGACAAAGCAGGAUCACCCAGAACCUGAAUUCUGUGCUCUGGUCUCUCGUUAUUUGUGGACUCGCCUGCCUUCAAUCAUCCCUUGAGGCAUGAAUAAAGUAUUCUGCAUUGACUUGAAGUGAAAGCGCGCUCCAUCUGAGCCCGUUGCUGAGAUGAGCAUGAAUCUCUUUCUGGUUAACCUCCGACUGACUUACACACCACCGGCAAACCUUCAUCUGUGUUUCUGUCUCACCUGCAUUCAUCUGAAAAACAAACCAACCCCCAACCUCCCCGCUCCUCUGUCUCACAUUGCCAGGCUGUGGCUCCUCAGCUACCACAGGGCUCCUGGUGGAGGUGCUGAGGGAGCAGGGAGAACAUUGUUUGAACUACAGUAAAACACAGCUCCCUUCAGCUCCGAGAUCAAAGGCAGAGGAUUACCAACAGCCUGCUGUAAUGAGACCACAAUGACUUGAAAUCGCUGGGACGGCUUGGUACACUCUCCCCCAACCACAACAUCGUUACGAGAGACUGCGGUGGAACACCCUGAGAAAGACAACAGUAAUCUAGUAAUGUGGGUUUCUCCUGAUGUAAACUCAUCUGCUCUGCUUGAUUCUGUGUGUGUGAUCUUGCCAGGGAGCUGAAGUGGAGUUAAAAAGUGGAAAUUUAAUAAAUAUCUUUGUAAUGAUAGAAUCAGUAUUCCUGAAAUGAAAGCUGCUGUGCGGAGAAAUAACGUAAUCUAACACCGUUUUGUCCCUCAGUCCACUGACACUGUUGGAUGGCCUGUCUCCGUCAAUAAACCUUUUCCUUUGUCUAAUUUAAUAUACAGUAUAAGAGUGCGUGUUUAGGUUGCUUUCAUCAAUUCAGGUCUGUGUCAGUAGGAUUUGACAGUUCUUUGAAGGUCAGUCCUGAUUUUUGUUCUUUUUAAGAUUAUGCUUUUGGCAUUUUGCCUUUGUUUUGUGAGUGACAGCAGAGACACAGACAAGAAACGCAGGGUGACAGAGAGAAGGCUAUGAAAUGCAACUCUGAUGGAAUCAAACCACUCAGCCAUAAAUUUUUCAAUUUGGUGAUUUUUUUUUUUGGAAGUCCCAUAUUCAGCUUUCCAUUCGCUUCCAGUAAAAUUCUCAUUUACGCGGGAUUAAAUUCAAAUGUUGCAUUCAAUUUUGCUCUGUUUAGAGCCACGGCAGGCAACAGUAGCACUGAUUGGUUCCACCAUCAUCUCUAAAAUAAAUAUGGAAUAAAGCCUUAAGUCUAUCUGACUUAAGUAAAGAUAUACAGAUUGCUGUUUUAGGCUAAAUAAAUAAAACUGAUUUGACUUGACUUGCUUGUGAGCCAGCGUCUCCUUGCAACCCCUCGUGAGUUGUGAGCACCUAAACUGAAAAGUGAUCCCCCCCCUCCCUCCUCCCUGAACACUUUUUGAGGCCUGAACAGAUCAAACUCUGCAGUAUUUCAUGGUAAAACAGCAAAGUCCAAACAAUUAACAAGAUUUUAAGUUUUUAAAAUAUUUUCUCUCCCCGUACUCAUCUCCUGACCCUUGGGCUGAGGACUGAUGCAAUAGACUAACAAUGACUUAACAGGACAACGAUCAAACCUACAGGUUGAAUAACAUUGCUAUUGUGUCGCGGGCUCCUUCCUCCAGUCAUUUUGUACAAAUACUGAAAUUUGUUGUGAAAAAGCUUGUGUUGACUAAGUUGUGUUUCACAUCCAGUUGCUCUGCAGUGAAUCUGAGGGGCAAGGUAAUACAAUAAAUCCAAAUUAUUGAACUGCAGUUACACUAAAGAGAGAAAACAUAUAAGAUGAGUUUGCUUUUGGAGAAAUGUAACAUUUUGAAGUAUUUUAACAAGUAAAAUAAUUACCUUUAACAUAGUGUGUGGUGUUUCCUGGAUUUCUUUAAACUUAAUGAAUCUGUGAAAUAAGUCAAAAUGUUAUCAUGAAACAGAUUUCAUAAUGAGUCCCACAGUAAUCAUCAUUUCUCCAUCUAAAAGAUGUUCAUGGCCACGGUAAUGGGUGAAUUAAACCAUGUUUAUGUAUGUUGCUUUUGUAAUUUGCAUUUGUAAGCAGACACACUGUAACGUUAAUUAAAGUUUCAGACUCGCUGUAAACAAAUAUAGAAAUUUACACUGUAUUUGACAUUGUGCUUUGUCUCCAAACAAGCACUUAGAGGAACUGAUAAUUCUACUGAAUGAGCAGUGAUGAAAGCAGACGUGUGUGUCAAGGGGAUUGGAUUAAAUUGUCUACAUUUCA